rnacentral:rRNA from 1 species
UACAGAGGUCUCAAGCGUUGUUCGGAAUCACUGGGCGUAAAGGGUGCGUAGGCCGCACGGAAAGUCAGAGGUGAAAUCCCGGAGCUCAACUUCGGAAUUGCCUCCGAUACUCCCGUGCUUGAGGACUGGAGUGGAGUCUGGAAUUCACAGUGGAGCAGUGAAAUGCGUAGAUAUUGUGAGGAACACUAGUGGCGAAGGCGAGACUCUGGACAGUUCCUGACGCUGAGGCACGAAGGCCAGGGGAGCAAACGGG